AUGGUCAUUGGGAAGGAAAAGGCUAAACAGUUUAAGGAGGAAUCUCGAUGGCUGGCGAUCGCACGAGUUAACACGGAUCGUCCUUUUAGUUUGUCGUUGUUUUUUGAUACCAUGAAGUUUAUCUGGGGACUAGCGCAAACGCCCAAAUUCAGAGAAGCGGGAGCGAAUAGAUUCAUAUUCCAGAUGUUUUGCUUGGGAGAUUGGAAGAAAGUAGUCCACGGUGGUCCAUGGCUCUUUCGAAACUAUGUAGUCAUUGAGGACUACGAUGGGGCGACGGAUCCAGAAGAAUAUGUGCUUGAUGGCAUGUAUGUAUGGGCGCAGAUUCACAAGGUUCCCGAUCUUUACCGCCAUCCAGAGGUGGUCGAUGAGCUAGCACACAGAAUUGGCAAAGUCAGAGAGGUUCAACUCCGUCCUACUCUGUACUAUGAGGGUGACUAUGUCAGGGUUAGGGUUCGUGUCCUCACUGCGAAACCUUUGACAAGAUUCACUCCUCUAUCUGUGAAGGGAGAGGGGAGACGAAUGUUAGUGGUGAAAUAUGAAAAUUUUCCUUUCUUCUGCAAGGUCUGUGGUCUUAUGGGACACGGUUUUGAGGAGUGUGGCAAUGGGGUAUGGAUGGAGACUGACAAGAAGUGGGGAAGCUGGAUGAUAGCCAAGCGCAGAGAGGUUUCUUACUCACAGCCCAAGGACGAGAGGUCUUUCUUCCGAGGAGGCUGUGGCAGUGGUGGAGCAAGAGGUAGAGGACGUGAAACAGCCCAGCGGGGAGGAGACCCAGUAAGAAACACAGGCCAUGGACAUGAAGGAGAAGUUGAAAGAUCGAGGAUGUCGCCUAGAGGGGGGGUGAAUAGGCACUUUAAAAUAAUUACGGUUUAG
rnacentral:rRNA from 1 species